rnacentral:lncRNA from 1 species
GUUGGGGAUGUGGGGUCCUCCAGGGGUGGGGGGAUGGGAUAUGGGGGUCCUCCAGGGGUGGGAUUUUGGGGUCCUCCAGGGGUGGGGGUUGGGGGCAUUGGGGUCCUCCAGGGGUGGGGGAUGGGAUAUGGGGGUCCUCCAAGGGUGGGGUUUUGGGGUCCUCCAGGGGUGGGGGUUGGGAUAUGGGGGUCCUCCAUGGGUGGGAGAUGGGAUUUUGGGGUCCUCCAAGAGUGGGGGAUGGGGAUGUGGGGGUCCUCCAGUGGUGGGGGAGGGGGAUGUGGGGGUCCUCCAGGGAUUGGCAUGGGGGAUAUUGGGGUCCUCCAGGGGUGGGGGUGGGGAUAUGGAGGUCCUCCAGGGGUGAGGGGAGGUCCUCCAAGGGUGGGGGAUGGGGUAUGGGGGUCCUCCAGGGGUGGGGUUUGGGGGCGUUUGGGGUCCUCCAGGGGUGGAGGGUUGGGGUAUUGGGGUCCUCCAAGGGUGGGGGUUGGGGGCAUUGGGGUCCUCCAGGGGUAGAAGUGAGGAUGUGGGGUCAUCCAGGAGUGGGGUUUUGGGGUCCUCCAAGGGUGGGGGGCAUUGGGGUCCUCCAGGGGUGGGGGUGGGGGACAUUG